rnacentral:rRNA from 1 species
AAUUCGAUUAGUUUGAUCAUGGCUCAGGACGAACGCUGGCGGCGUGCUUAACACAUGCAAGUCGAGGGCACUUUGGUAGCAAUACUGGAGUGACCGGCGAACGGGUGCGUAACACGUGAGCGACCUUGCCUCGUGGUGGGGGGUAGCCGGCCCAACGGCCGGGUAAUACCGCAUAGGGUAGUUCUUUCGCAUGGGAGAACUAGCAAAGCCCUGGAGCGAUCCAGUGGCGCCACAGGGGGGGCUCGCGGCCUAUCAGCUAGUUGGGGGGGUAAUGGCCCACCAAGGCGACGACGGGUAGCUGGUCUGAGAGGAUGGCCAGCCACAUUGGGACUGAGAGACGGCCCAGACUCCUACGGGAGGCAGCAGUGGGGAAUCUUGCGCAAUGGCCGCAAGGCUGACGCAGCGACGCCGCGUGGGGGAGGAAGGCCUUCGGGUUGUAAACCCCUGUUGCCCGGGACGAAUGUGCUUUUUAGAGAGCAUUGACGGUACCGGGUGAGGAAGCACCGGCUAACUCCGUGCCAGCAGCCGCGGUAAUACGGAGGGUGCAAGCGUUGUCCGGAAUCACUGGGCGUAAAAGGCGCGUAGGCGGCUCAUAAAGGCUGUGGUGAAAGUUCGGGGCUCAACCUCGAAUCGGCCGUGGCGACUUGUGGGCUGGAGCACUGUAGAGGCGGGUGGAAUUCCGGGUGUAGCGGUGGAAUGCGUAGAGAUCCG